ensembl:snRNA U1 U1 spliceosomal RNA
AUACUUACCUAGCAGGGGAGAUACCAUGAUCAUGAAGGUGGUUUUCCCAGGAUGAGACUUACCCAUUGCACUCCAGAUGUGCUGACCCCUGCGAUUUCCCUAAAUGUGGAAACUCGACUGCAUAAUUUGUGGUAGUGGGGGACUGCGUUCAUGCUCUCCCCUG